UAGGCCUUAGCUUAAUUAAAGUGUUUGGGUUGCAUUCAGAAGAUGUAUAAUAAAGUUAUACAGGUCUUA
rnacentral:tRNA from 1 species